AUUGAACGCUGGCGGCAGGCUUAACACAUGCAAGUCGAGCGGAGACUUCGGUCUUAGCGGCGAACGGGUGAGUAAUACCUAGGAAUCUGCCUAUUAGUGGGGGAUAACGAAUCGAAAGGUUCGCUAAUACCGCAUACGUCCUACGGGAGAAAGGGGGAGUCUUCGGACCUCUCGCUAAUAGAUGAGCCUAGGCCGGAUUAGCUAGUUGGUAGGGUAAAGGCCUACCAAGGCGACGAUCUGUAGCUGGUCUGAGAGGAUGGCCAGCCACACUGGAACUGAGACACGGUCCAGACUCCUACGGGAGGCAGCAGUGGGGGAAUAUUGGACAAUGGGGGCGAACCCUCGAUCCAGCCAUGCCGCGUGUGUGAAGAAGG
rnacentral:rRNA from 1 species